rnacentral:rRNA from 1 species
UACGAAGGGGGCUAGCGUUGUUCGGAAUUACUGGGCGUAAAGCGUGCGCAGGCGGCUUCUCAAGUCAGGGGUGAAAGCCCAGAGCUCAACUCUGGAAUUGCCUUUGAGACUGAGUGGCUUGAGUACGAGAGAGGUGAGUGGAAUUCCCAGUGUAGAGGUGAAAUUCGUAGAUAUUGGGAAGAACACCGGUGGCGAAGGCGGCUCACUGGCUCGUAACUGACGCGCAUGCACGACAGCGUGGGGAUCAAACAGG